rnacentral:tRNA from 1 species
GCGGAAGUGGCGGAAUUGGUAGACGCACCAGAUUUAGGUUCUGGCGCUUUAGGGUCUGAGAGUUCAAGGUGUGAGAGUUCAAGUCUCUCUUUCCGCACCA